AAUUCUUCGGAUGCGGCAAUCGAACAAUUAGUUGAGCGAUUGCACGUAGGUUUUUGGCAAAGUAAGCAUCGAUAUUUUGUUUCUUCCGAGCAACUUUGACAAAACGCCAUAGCAGCGCUUAUGACAUCGUCAGAAAAGCAUUUUUCAAACCAGACAGCGUCUGGCCAAACAUGAAAUAAGGAAGUGUCGUGAAAUUUGACACGCGAUUUGGGCAAUCUACCAGCUGAUUCAUUUUUACAAAAACACUACCGACAUUCUGGUUAUAAAGUAUAAACAUGCAUGCUGCAGAAUCUGAGACUAAAGUAAAUUACACUGAAAGGAAUAGAGCAACACUCCGGGUUAGUUAAUUUAUUUGGGGAUAUCAUGCGUACAUGGAUGACUGGGAACCAAAACUCGAUGAGGAAUAUUCACUUAAGCGUAGUUGGACAUGCCCCGAAACUUAUGGCACUAUGGCUGACAAAGUUUUUAAAGCGGCAGACAAAUUCUGGUAAAAUAAUCGUCAAAGGAAAGCGUGUCAACAGAGGAGGUGGUUAUGGUUUAGAAAUUCCGUGCGAGUAUCACUUUCAUGGCUGAAGGGAAGGGUGACACGAGAAAAAUUUAAAUUGCUUGAAUAACACGUUCACACGGACUGAAAAGACUGUUGACACUUUCAGUGAUUACGGAAGUUCGAGUAAUGAGAUAAACACAACUUAAAACUUUGACAUUUUGCCGAAUAAAGAUUUAAUUAUAAUAUAUUGUAUUAUGUUUCAUGUUUGCUGUAGUUACUUUCCACUGACCGUUUAAUACAGUUUCAAAACAAUGAAAAAUUAAGUUUGGGACCGUGGAAAGGAUGACCGCGUCCGCUUAAUAGAGGUGACCAUGGAUUCAAUAAAGGUCACUUAACUAGUAUUUAUAUUAUGAAAUUUUCGGGACUUUGCC